rnacentral:rRNA from 1 species
UACGUAGGGUGCAAGCGUUAAUCGGAAUUACUGGGCGUAAAGCGUGCGCAGGCGGCUUUGCAAGACAGAUGUGAAAUCCCCGGGCUUAACCUGGGAACUGCAUCCGAUACUGGAUGGCUUGAAUCCGGGAGAGGGAUGCAGAAUUCCAGGUGUAGCGGUGAAAUGCGUAGAUAUCUGGAGGAAUACCGGUGGCGAAGGCGGCAUCCUGGACCGGCAUUGACGCUGAUGAGCGAAAGCUAGGGGAGCAAACGGG